AUCGAUCGGUUUGACCUAACCGAUCGAUUGCUCUUUAGUCGAGAAUUCGCAACAAUCGUAGUAAAGCAAACGCGUGUCACCGAUGGGAACCCGUGGUAGUCAGCGCGUUAGUUUUACUAGUCACAAUUAGUCUAGACGCAGUUUUAAACACUGAAACGAGCUAUAACGUUCUCGCUCGCUGCUUGCUGAAUUUACGAUCGUUUUCUGUCUUUUCCAUUCACGUGUAUGGCGUGAAUAUACAAAAUACCGGCUGUAUUUUACUGUGAAAAAUACCGAAAUUCUCUAGGUGACUGUUAGAAUCUGGGAUUUCAGGUAGCCGCGGAACGACAGAGGUGAACAGCGGCGUAGUAAAAGUGCAUGAAUAUUCAUGACGUCAAAAGCAGCGUACGUCGUAAAGUCGAUCCACGUCCUGUCUGUCUUGCGAGGCCUACGUUCGUAAAAUGUACACGUGAUGCUCGAACGUAAUACGAUAGCUGGAUUCUUAAAAAUUUGUUGUACAAUGAAUUCGUGCUAUAUCGACUGAAUAAUCAAUGGCAAAGUGAAGAUAAAGAUUGCGAAUAAAGUAUGAGUCCUUCGGUAGGACGAGAUUUUUUUUAGUGACUGGAUAAGUGAUUUUACGCGUUGUGAACGAGCGGUGGAAAUACCAGGAACGUAAUUAUUCGUGGAGGAUUCUCGCGGGCUCUAAUUGUUACUCAAGGGAUUGAGCAAUCUAUCUUCUGAUUAUAUUAGAGGUCGGAGAACCCUGCCAGUUAUGAGAGCCAAGGCUGUCUCAAAACUCGAGGAUUAGAAUCGUAGAAAAUCUUUUCCUAUGAUUCAGUACGAUUACGAACAUUUCAUGCUACGAGAAUGAAAAGUAACAUGGAAUCUUGGCUAACGCAAGUAUCAAUACUUUCAGCCACUGUAUAUCUUAAAAUUACCGGUUUGUAAGAUGUAUCUAAAUGCACUAUGCACAAAUCGGUAUAAUUCAAAUGAUAUUAACUAAACUAAAUAGAUCAACAUAAUUGUGUCUGUCUAAAUAAAAAUCAAUAUCGAUUUUAGUAAAAA